ACAGGCUACUCCCGGGGAGCGGAUCACCUCCAAGUUCCCGCUCCAAGCGGCUGGUAGCUGCUAGUAAUUCCGACUUCUGCCCUCGAAGGAGGAGUACCAGGGAAGAAAGAGACUAAGAAAUCCUCAAUCGCCCGUAGAACAAGACCCGGGAGGAAGGGCCCAAGUGAGCGCGGCCGUCGGCGAGGUCAGCUUAGCCUCUACUGGACCGUGGAACCCUGAGCGCUGAGGCUGUGGGGUCGCGGCAUUUUACUGGGCCUCGCCAGCUUCCACAGUCUGCUGCGGUCUGCGGAAUGGGGAAGGAUAAAAUACAGUCUUUGGUUUAUUUUAAAAAAUGGUAUUCUGCGUGAACUACCAGGUCCGUGGUUUGCUUUUGGCCCUUGCAGAAGAACCAGGAAGAUCUUUCCAAAAAUUUCUGCACCAGUUUAUCUAACUAAUGAAAUAAAUGAAGGUUAAAAAACCAAAACAGAUCGUUUUCUCCUCCUGGCCUUUUAUUUUAUUUUUGUUAAGCGAAGGGAUUCUUUUGUUCUUAUUUUUGUCUUCUUAUUUGCCUGAGGGGUGUGAACUCAAGAGCAUCUGGACCUUUCCACACAUCAUUUGUUCCAUUACUUUCUUGUUGUUGACCCAACUAAGCUUUUUACUUUUUUUUUUUCAAUUCUUUACAGGAAAAAAAAAAUCUUGGGAGUACCGAUGAACUUUGUUUACAGAAUAACAUUCCGACUCCUUCCCCUGAAUGGCUGGUGCCCCCGGAGCUUUGAAAGCCCUGCUUUUCUCUAGGUUCAGAAACCAAAGUUAUUUAUGCCCACUUCUCAAACCCUUUCCGUAUGUUCUCCUUCUCUCGCUGGAAAAAUUGAUAAGUAACAAUGUGUGUGUGCACGCGCGCUUAAAUUGCAUUUAGAUUUCAGAUACAUCAGAAGAGCUAAGGUCUUUGCUCGACACCACUUGCUGACUUAUCUUUCUCCCUUAAAUUGGGGACUCGUGUCCCUCCCUUGCAUUGGAUUCAGAGGAGACACGCGAGCAGCUGCUCAGGAAAGAGUUUUCUCCGCUACACGCUCACUCGCGCUGCAUAUCCCCUCAUGUCCACUAGAGGUCACUGGCCCCUCGCGGCUCGCGGCGCUACCGGCCGCCUCCCGCUCCUGAAGCUCAAAUUAGCCGCGCGUUAAUUAACACCCGAGUCCAUCAAGGCGCGUUUCUCAGUACAGUACUCUAGCAGGGCUUAUAUAGACAACCCAAACCCAGCCAAAGCAAACCUCCCCAAAUCCAACAUUUCCUGCAUGUCCAAAAUGGGAGACAGGCGCCUGAGUAACCCGGGGCAAGGUAUAGUGCCAUCAUGCUUUAACUUUUGUUCUGUGGGGCUUGCUAAGUCGCUGUGAAGAUAACAUUCUCUGCGAGCGCAGGUUCGGCGGGGCCCGACCCCGUUCUCCAGCUCUCCAAGGCUGGGCAGCGUGAGUUUUGGCCCCCGCAGCACACUGGUCCUCCGAGCGAGUUUCUCCAACACAGUCGCUACGGGGAAGAGGGGCGCAGGUCCACACCGUCCUAGGCGCACAAGAAUGUAGAAGGAGAAUAUUUGUUUAGGAUAUGAUGCACAAGAAAAUGCCCAGAUGUGGAGAAAAGAAAUAUAAAAUAUGACGUUUCUCCUGACUUUUGAUGAGAAAUGGGGAAGGGGCGGGGGUUGAUGGUGGAGACGGACGCCCGGAAUUGACUCUGGUGAUUUUAACGCGGGAGCGAGGGGGGGCGCCUGCGAUGUCCAGAGAAGGUCACUGCCUCUUGCUCAUUGUGCGCGCGCGCGCGCGCGCGCGUGUGUGUGUGUGUGUGUGUGUGUGUGUGUAAGGUCCACACGAAGCUUUGGGUCUAGCUUUUAUUUUAUUUUAUUUUAUCUCAACAAAAGCCCAAUAAGCAUUUCCCACUAUGGACUGGGAGGAAUUAGUCACGUCUCCAGGGCCUCAACGAAAUCCUUAAGGACUGCAUGAAACCAAGCCCGAGUUACAUUCCAAUAGCGCUGUCCACGUUAGUGAUAUUUGUAAAUCGCCAUGACGAGUCCCUUUGACUUGGAGCCCUAGUGAGUGGAAGGGUCGCCUCUAGAGCUCCUAAUUCUUUUGAGAAAAAAUCUUGGAAACAUUAAUUCGCGUUCUAACAAAAGGGUUUGCAAGGCUCGGGGUCUUUUGCCUUAGCGGGGAGCAGGAAGUUUGGGGAGGAACAGUGUGGAUUCCUAGGACUUUGGGGGCUGACCUUUUUUUCCAUGGGAUCAUUGGUGCGGACCCCAAAGAUCGGGACGGUCGGGCCUUUACUAGAGAGGGAUCCAGCGUGUUAACCACCGUUUGCCCCAACUGUUCAGCCGUAGGCAAAAUUAGCCUGCCGCGCCCUCAUUGCGGGAUGGGGCUUCUCCUGGGUUGGUUUAAUGAUGGCCGAUUAAUGAAGCCAUUGUCCGCCUUCAGGGGAAAGCAGCAGCCGGGGCGGGUUAUGGGCCGCGUCCACGUGUCAGGCAACGCCGCAGGCACCUCCAAGGUCCGCAUCAAUAGCACCCAGGGGGCGGGCGGGAGUGAGAGUUUCCGGCAGCCCCGCGGCAGGUGAGUCCUCCGCUCGUGACGGGGUCGGAGGGGACACCCCUGGAAGCCUGCCCCAGUCUGGAGCAGCAAGGGGCGUCCAGUGCUUCCUGAUAAAGCUCUGGGACUUCGAAACUGCGGCUAUUUUUUUUUUUAUAGCGGUCCCAAAUUAUUACGGAGCCACCCUUGGAGCAUUCCCUGCAGAAUCCAAUCCCUACCUGAACCCCAACGAGGGGCCGCCCCCCAUCCCACACUUCGUUCCUCUUCCCCUUUGCCUUCGACUUGGGCGCUACUGAGCCGGUGUUCCAGGUUGGAGCAGUAGCCAGAACCUGAUCUAGCUCCAGGGCGGGCACAGGUGUCAGCAUGAACUGGCAUUAUGUAAUGGAUUUGGCAGCCCUGGCUCUUACCAAACGGAAUUAAGAAAGGUGGGGCUUUCCUUUUCUUUUCUUGACCUUUUCUUUUGACUACAUCUGGUCAGGUGUACUCGAUCCGUGGCAGCAGGUGUUAUUGCAGGAAAAGACGAAGCGGAAUGGCGGCAGAAGUCAAAGCACUCCCAGGGAGCGGCCCAAAACAGGCCUGGGGGCCCAGGGAAGAGCCUCAGAGACCCUUCCCUGAGCCACUCACCUGAGGCCGUAGCUGCAGGCGACCUGAAUUUCAGGCGCAGGGGACGAGGAGGGAGCAGCCCCUGCUCCCUUUGUUUUCUGGCCAAAACCCCUCUGGUAGAAACUGUGGGGCUCCCUUCUGAUUACUAUUUGCCUUUUAUUAGCCUACCUAUCACCCCACGAGUGAGGGAGAGUGUGAGUUUGGACCCAAAAUCAGGACAUUCUAGGUAAAAUACCCUUGCAGGCGACAGAGAGCCCCGCCUUCAUCUCAGAAGCGUUACCUGCGAGCAGCCUCCGCCAAGCAGGUCUCUAAAAAUUAGCCAAACGGAGCCCCCCGAACCCCUUCUAAGCUGCAAGACCACGGGGCUCUCGUCCAGGAGAAUUUUAAAAAACAAUUUUGGUAAGCUCGAGAAGGGGAUUUCAUAUAGUCAGUCUCCAUUUUAUUAGAUACAAAAGAAAACAGAAAUGAUAACAUCUCCCUCUCCAAACCGUCAGUUUACUUGUGGGUACCAAAUUACUGCCAUGAAGGAAUUUGAUGCUAAGGGCUGGUUUGAAGAGACCUAAGAGACUUUUGUAGAGACCUAAGGAAGUGUUUGAGCCUUAAAAGUGAAACGCUCAAUUUUGGGAGUAGGCUUACUUUUAAAUGAUAAAAGAGAAUAGUUUUUUAAGUACCAAUUCAAAGACUAAAUUUGAGUCUCUGAGUUGAGUUCUAAAAGGAGCACUCAUUAAAGGUGAUAAGAAGAUUUAAAACAAACAUUUGGAGAGUUGUGGCAAAAGAGGCUGGUGUCUACAUGGUUAUUUACAGGUGAUGUGUCAUGUAUCCAGACUCCUUAAUUUGGACUGGUGAAUUCAGCCCAAAACUCACACCUAUAAAGACUUGAGUAACAGCUACACAAAUAAAAAUGUCUCUUUCUGGAGCAGCUUCCAUUUGCAGAGGCUGCUGCCAGGAAAUCUGGUGAAUCCUUUACACUGGAUAUUUACAUGGGCCUGAAGUGCCCCAGUACCUGUGUGUUAAUUGUAGCACAACCCCAUGCAAUGGCUACCUAUAAAUGACAUUUUUAAAAAAUAUUGUAAGAGAUAAGCAGGGAGAAGACUAAUAUCUGCCAGGAAAUUUUUUAAAACAAAGUUCAAACUAGCCCCAUUAAAUAUGUCGUGGUCAAAACUGUUUGGUGGUGAAUUAUUUUUGCCUUCCCUGCUGUUGCCAAAGCCAUUGAUGAUCAUAGGAGACCUCAGCGAAAGCAAUCAGGAAGCAGCACUCUCCCCCACCUUGUUUUCCAAACGCACAUGAGUUUCUUCGUGAAUUCCAUUUGCUGGAUCUCCUCUGCCAGCUGAAGAUCCUGUACUGAUCUGGGUAGGGACCAGCCCCCACACGCAGCCGUCUGUUCCUGAGCAGAACUUGGAGGUGUAACUACAUUUUCAUGCCAACAGGACAAAAUGGUUUUGCUCAGAAUCAGGUUGUGUUUUCAAGUUACCUUUCCUGUCUAAUCACGUGGUGCUUAAAAGACUGAUAACCUUAAAGCACACUCCUCAGUGAGGGCACCAUAGAACCUAGUUGAGCUUUGGGAGCUUUUCUUGAGUACUUAUAAAAGAUUCCACACCUUCCAGAGGGGCAGCUUGGCGGUUGUUGGGACAUCAGCGGCUACUUGGUGUCUAAUUCAAGCCUUCAGGUGUUUUACUAGUUAACAAGAAUAAAUUUCCCAGGUUGUAAAUGGUUUAAGAGGGGAAAAAAGAAAUGCAAAUUAUCAAAUUGUCUGUUUAAAACAUAGUUUUGCAACUGCUAAGUUGUACUUAAACAUGACCCCAAAUUUCUUUUGUCCUUUUCAAAAAUAAAUUACUUCUUUUAUGUAAUUGUUCUGUAUAUCAAAGCUGUACCUUAUUGAACCCCUCACUUUCCUCCAUGCAACCCAAUCCUGAGGCCUCAUUAAAACACUGGCUAAUAAUUUUAAAGAAAAAAAGGCAAAUUCUCAAAAAUGUUAUUCAAUAUGCAGGGCAGUUUAAUCAGUAACUGUUAAACAAUGAAAAGUGUUUUCUCUCCACCAUGCCAUUGUACUAUAGCCUGAAUGUUGACCUUACACAAAUGCCCAUUUUUCAACGUGUGGCGAUCCACCGAGAACGAACGCUUGGCCUCAGAAACUGAGUCUCAAACAGAGCGAAUUCAUGGGGGUGGGGGUCCCGAUGUGUUUGGAGUGUGUGCUCCAGACACUGCGAACACCGGUGCGGGCUAGGCGGGGGUCUGCGUGCUCUUUACUUCCUCUCUUAUCACUGUUGUCUGAAAGAUUUUUAAAACACCACCUGGGUUGGUAAAAUAUGAUCCUCAUUUAAUAUAGUGCGUAACCGGCUCGUUUCGCUGAGAGGAUUUUUUUUUUUUCCUACAACUAACAUAAUUUUCAAGGAGCAACUUCUUUUCGUUCCAUUUUCCUUCAAAUCUAUGCUGGGCACAAACUAACAACAUUUUAUCAUUCUUAUUCUGAAAUAAGAUUUGGCAGGUAAGUGAGUCCUAAAACAUGCCAAAUGUCCAGCAAUCUACCGUUCGUUCAGAGAUUCCUUAUGCCACCUUUGUAACUGUGUAGCAACAGUAAUCCCUUAAUUAAGUAUACAAAUGUACAGUUCACCAACCCAUCUAGUGGUUUCACUGGAGUGGGAGAAGGGAGAUGGUUACUGUGACAUCAUUGUUAUUAUUUAAACUGCUAGGGGAGAAUAUAAUUGUUAAUAAAAGCCUUCUUCUCCACGCCCCUCAAGGUUCCCUCCCCCCUGGCAUUUUAUGACGUGCCAUCCACAAUGAAUGUAAGUAGAAUUAUGUCGAUCCUGGGAGCCUACUCUCUAAAUAUAAUGUCGCACAGGUCAGCAAGGAAAUGCAGAAGAAAAUUACUGUAUUUAGGGGUAGUUGUUUGAGAAAAUAUAUAUUUAUAAGUGUGGGGUAUCGGUAUUAAAACUUUGUCUCUUUAUGAAUGUGUGUGUGUGUAUGUGUGUGUGUACAGAGGGAGUUUUAUAAACGGGUUGUGUGCAUCCGUUUUAGAAUCCUCAUGUUUGUACGUUAAAAGGCUGCCAUGUAAUCAUUCCAUGGGGCUGGUUUAGUGCAUUUAACAGAGAACUAAUGGCUAGUCUAUGUUGAAAAGCAUCGUCCUAUUUUUUAAUCCCAUCACGUAUUGAAGCGGUUUUGUGAGAGUCUGCGGCUUUCACCUUUAUCCAUCGUGGAUGCUCUUGUUCGAGAAAUCAAUUCCAAGCACUUUUAGUUCCUGAUCAUUGCUAAAAUGCUUUCACUUCUGUCUAUGCAACUAUUCUUUAUUUUUGGCCUAUUUUCGUCAGUCUUAGCAAUAAUGAUAAACAAUCCUUGCUGCAUUGAAACUCAGUUGAAAUGAUCCGGUGAACCCCUGCCCUGGUCCUUGCUGCAAACUGUAAUCUCAAAUACUGAAUAUGGUCGGACUUGGUCGUGGGAUCCAAGCGGCAGGAGACCGAAGCUACUUUUUCGUUACCUUCUUUCUAGCCUGGAGCGCGCGCGCUAUGUACACAUACACACACACACACACACACACACCCCUCGGUAAAAGCAAGCUGAGAUGCGGUGAGGUGGUGUUCCAGAGGGAGCCUGGGCAGUGAGGAAACCGACGGCGUGAGCAGCGCCGGGACCAGGGGCUACUACUAAGGUGGGCGCCCCGCGUCCAGGGCGAGGACGCACGGAAGCUGCACGAGCCUCCGGGGCUUGUCUGAGAUGCAGAAGUGGAUGACCGGGCUCCUGGGAAUAAAAUCAAAGUUCCGUGGAGCUUGGAGCUCUUAGACAGCCACGCUUGUCCGAGCUAAGAGCCCUCCGUGGUUCGAGCUCGCGCGUGGAGCGGCCUCCAGCGCUCGGUCUGCUCGGGUAGAAGCCCAUGAAGGGGGUCCCGCGGCGCUAGCUUUUGUACGGCCCCGCCUUGGCCAGCCGUGAGCUGACGCACCGGCUCCCCCGGGACGCUGGGGGCGUCGCACCGCAGCUGGGUGGGGAGCAAUUUAUUCCUCGCCGUCCCAUCCCAGCCCAUCUUUGGUUACUCCACCCUACCCCUCCCAUCCCUCCUCCUCCUCCUCCUCUUCCUCCUCCUUCUCUAACAACGCCCGCACUACCUUCUGAUUCUCCACCUCCUCUUCAUCCUCCAUCCCCCUUUUACUUCUCUCUCCCCCUCUCUCUCCUCCCUCCCGCCUCCUUUCUCCCUCUCCCCCUCCCUCUCUCCUCUGAAUAAGCAAGCUUUUGCCUCUAAAAGUCACAAGUAAUCCUCGUGUGUGACAGAGAGAGAGGGAGAGAGAGAGAGAGAGAGAGAGAGACGAGCUGGCGGAGACGAGCAGAAGGCAGGAGGGGAAAUCUGGCACAACGGCUGGGAGAGGAAACUUGAUGCUUCUGGGCCACCAUUUGCCAGGGCCUCGCUCGAGCCGGCGCCUCGGUUCCUGCCCAGCUGGAUUUGGGGGGCAGUAUUGCCUGGCGCAGGGAGAUCAAAUGAGACUGCAAAGAAGCAUAAAAUGAAUAGACAAUCCAACCAACCAAAGACCGGGGGCAGCAGCAGGCCAGCAAGACGGCAUCUUCUCCUUCCCAGCCUAGAAGCCCUGUGAAAUCGAGGAUCUUCCCCCUAAAACACAUACACACAAGAUAUGUGCAAUCAAGCUGCCACCGCUUGGUAAAAAGCUCAUGGUGCCUAACCAAAAAGGAUCAGGAGCAGAUCCUUGAAUCAGCUGUCACUUCUAUAGAAUGGGAUGUUUUUUUUUUCCUUCCUCCUUAACCUGCGCUGGAAAUUGCCGUUGGCUUUAUACAUCUCUAUAGAGAGAGGCUAAAGAGUCUUGCGUGAGAAAGAAGCAAUUUACAAUGCAAAUAGAGGCCUGUGAAGGGACGGAUGCUGCUGCUCACUCGUAACAGCUUGCUGCACCUUAAUAGCUGGUUUUAUUUUCUGAUAUUAAUAGAUGAAUUGUUGGCUAACGCUGCCGGAGAUUACUUGCUGAAAGGAAAAAAAAAAGUUCGGAAUAAACUCUGAAGGCAACAGAUCUCGUUUGGAUGUUUUAGCCGCGCACACACACAAACAGAAACCAGGUCAUAUUUACAUAAAAGGAGGAAUCUUAAGCGCGGCAAGUAUCCUGGACGACCACUCUUCAGUACUGCCAGAAAGGAUCCGGACCUGGAGUCUGGCAAGAGGAAGACAGAGGCCUGUGUGGGAAGCGAGUUGUUAUCUUUGGUUAUCUAGCUGUAUGAGUGUAUUGGUCUUCAUAAAGCUAGAUAACCGAAAGUAAAAACUCCUUCAAGAUCGCCGGGGAGCGUGUGAGAAUGAAAGACUACAACCGAGAGACAGUAAAAACCAGAAAGGUCAGGAAUACUUAUUGAAUCUAACUUUGUUUUUGUUUUGUUUUUUUUCGUUAUGAUUAAAGGUGGGAUGAGAGGAAAUUAAAUGACACACAUAUGCUAAAAUAUCAAGGUGCCAGAUAUAUCUUGAGAGGGGUUGUUGCAGCUGCAAAGGAGAAGUGUAUAGUGAUAAUGAGUAAAGAUGCAUGUGCAGUUUGUUCUAUUUUAAGGCAAAAGUUUAUAUAUCAGGGAUUUUUUUCUUAGAAAGGUGUUGCAGAGAUGUCUGGUACCUAGUUUAAAAAUGAUUCCAUAAUAUGUAGACUUUGGCAGUUCCUUUGUGAGGCCCCUCCCUCUCAAAAUUUGAAGAUUGUGCUUGGAAAUUACUUUACAUGUAUUUGGGCUGUAUGUCAAUUUGUAUGAAAUUAGACUUUCAGAAAAGUUUAUACUGGAAGGUUAAUAAUUUAUAUCUACUGAGGACUUAGAGCUAGCAGGCAAAAUGAAAAAAAAAAAAGCAAGGGCUGAUUUUUAUUCUUCUAUUCAAAAUACAAGGACAGAUGCUUCUCUGUUCCAAGAGGGUUUCCUUGAGGAAGCUACUGAAGCAGAAAGACAUGAUGGAGACGAGAUCGCCUCCCCUCUUGUCAAAGUGUUAAAAAAAAUGUUCUGUCUUACUCUGCGCCUAGCAUUGGAAAUGAAAGUGACAUUUACGCCACAACCCACGUGUGCGCCUCCUCUCUUUUUGUUUAAGGAUGAUCAGGUCUAUCCAGGAAACAGCUCUGGCAUCCCAAACUGAAAUAAUUAGGACGUAUAUAGACCUGACAAAAAUGGAAAGGGGGUGGGGAAUCUGAGGGUCUGUCUUGCCUAAUUGAUUCCGCUAAACGGAAUGCAGGAGAUGUGAACGGCAGGACGCUCCGAUUCCCACGCUCGGGGGCAAGUGAUAAAGCGGGGCCGGGCAGCCUAUGACAGACAGCCCUGUUGGGGGGUGGGGGUAUGAAAAAAACAUCAAGUGCACACACCAUACUCAUCUCCAUCGCUUAAGAAAGUAAAGGCAUUUCCCACCCACAGCCAUCUGCAGCCUCCCAAAUGGCAGCACCAACUGGUCUGUAGCUGCUACAUACUGUCUGCUUCUGUUAAUUUUUUAAACCACUAUUUAAUCUGGCCAUAAUUAAGUUUGGCUUUUUUCGUUGUUUCAGAUUUUCAGAACUCAAGGCAAGCUAGUAGAAAGCAAUUCCAAGGAAGUCCCAUGACUGCCUGCCCCUAAUGUCAAAAUCUCAGUCCAUGAGAUUAUGGCCUUGUGACCACAUUUUUGCUUUUGUUUUGGGUGGACUGUAUUUUAAAAUACAUAUCUCUAUAUAACAGUCAUUAUUAUAAUUUCAUGAGGCUUUUUACCUCUUAACAUGAUACCUCUAGGAACUGGGUCUAAUUGUGCUAGUAGAUAUACACUAGAAGUAAAACUAUAAAGUCAUUUACCUGUAGAAAGUUGAUUAUGAUAACAAUAUGAUAAAAAGCUUGUUUUGGAAUAGUCUCAGCUAGAUGGGUCUAAAUGGCCAUUUUAAUGUAAUCUAAAAAUAACACUAUUCCUAGCAGAAACUUUGGUGCUUUGGAGGUCAUUGUCGCCUUUUCAUAAAAGUCCUUAUGUUUUCCAUAUGUCACCAAGCAAACAUUUGUAUAGGCAUUUACACAGAAAUAUAACCAUUGCAAUUAGAAAAUAUCCAAAAUAGCCUGUUAUCUUCCAUGUGGCCUAGAUUAUUGACAAUCCGAAAUAUACAAUUUUUCUUUAAAAGUAGUACAAUUUCCUUUGUAGCUUCAAUUCCUUAUAUGACUUCAGACUGGAGAAGCCUGUUAAACCACUGUUACUUUCAGUUAGAAAGUCUGAGAGACUUUAUAUACAUAAAUUCUCAAUUUGGCUGCUGUACACGUGCCAGAGUUUUACUACUGUAGUGACCAUUAAGAAGACCCUUGUUUAUUUACAUUUGAAGCACUGUUUGUGCAAACAACCUUUCAUUGUUAAGUGCCUGUAUUCCUUUCAUUUACUUCAUGUCCAGGGGUGCUAUUUACCUAGAACCAUUGUCUACUACAAUUAACAUUUACAUUACAAAGUGUGUGGUUUUCUUUUUCAAGGAGGUUCAAUUAAGGCAAUAAGAUGUUUGCUGGAGAAACCUAUUGUUUACUGAAAGCACUCAAUGGAGUCAAAUUACUGAAGCUUUUGCCUACAUCUUGGUCUUUUAUGUAAAUAUGUUAAAUAUAACAUCUAAGGAAAAUAAACAAUAUUAUAAUUAUGUGUUUGCCAUUGUCAUAUCAAACUUGCUUUGUAUCAUACUAAUGUUACAUAACUUAUCGAUCAAUAAAAAUACAUUUCAAUGUUA